UACCAGCCCCCUGAGUGGUAUGGACGAUUAUUUGGCCUAAAGCGUCCGUAGCCGGCUCAGUAAGUCUUUCGCUAAAUCUAACGGCUUAAUCGUUAGGCUGCGGAAGAUACUGCUAGGCUAGAGGAUGGGAGAGGUCGACGGUAGUCCUGGGGUAGGGGUGAAAUCCUAUAAUCCCAGGAGGACCACCAGUGGCGAAGGCGGUCGACUAGAACAUGCCUGACGGUGAUGGACGAAAGCUGGGGGAGCGAACCGGAUUAGACACCCGGGUAGUCCCAGCCGUAAACGAUGCGGGCUAGGCGUUGGGACAGCCAUGAGCUGUUCCAGUGCCGCAGAGAAGUUGUUAAGCCCGCCGCCUGGGAAGUACGGCCGCAAGGCUGAAACUUAAAGGAAUUGGCGGGGGAGCACCACAAGGGGUGAAGGCUGCGGUUC
rnacentral:rRNA from 1 species